UCACAAAUUCUAAAUCUUACAAUGUGAUAAUCACAUUAUUAGAGUGUACAGAACAGCCAGCACACAGUUGAUUCGUUUAAGAUUAUUAAAAUGAGACCACACUUACAAAAACACAUAAAAACAGCUUAAUUAACAUAUAUCAUGAGGACUUACUUCUGUAUGCUUGUAUAUAUUUUGUUAUAUUUAUCCAAUUUAUUAAACACCUAUAUACAUCUCAAUCUAACUGUCUCUUAGUUCCAAUUACAAUCACCUGAAUAUUUUACUUUAUUCUACCCUUUUCUUCUUCUUUCUGUUCAAUAAAAUCAACCAACACACUGCUCACAAUGAAACAAAUA
rnacentral:lncRNA from 1 species